rnacentral:rRNA from 1 species
GGCAUCACGAGGGUUAUACUGUCUCCUUUUUCUAAUCAGUGAAACUAAUCUCCCCGUGAAGAAGCAGGGAUACUACUAUAAGACGAGAAGACCCCAUGGAGCUUUAAACCCAACUACACCCCUAUUCUCCAUAACUACUUAACUAAAAGGAUACUGUAUGCUUGGUUUUAGGUUGGGGCGACCACGGAGUAAAAACCAACCUCCAUGAUGAACGGACCUACUCCCUUAUCUAAGAGCCACUCCUCUAAGAAUUAGUACACUAACAUAAAAUGAUCCUUUUCUUGAUCAACGAACCAAGUUACCCUGGGGAUAACAGCGCAAUCCAUUU